UAAGGAAUCUUCCACAAUGGACGAAAGUCUGAUGGAGCAACGCCGCGUGCAGGAUGAAGGCUUUCGGGUCGUAAACUGCUUUUGUUAGCGAAGAAUUUGACGGUAACUAACGAAUAAGGAUCGGCUAACUCCGUGCCAGCAGCCGCGGUCAUACGGAGGAUCCAAGCGUUAUCCGGAGUGACUGGGCGUAAAGAGUUGCGUAGGUGGUUAUGUAAGUGAAUAGUGAAACCUGGUGGCUCAACCAUACAGA
rnacentral:rRNA from 1 species